ACAGUGAUAUAAGGCAAGUUUGUUCCCUUGAAUAGGUUACUAAGCCUUUAUGAUAUGCACUUCCAAAGAGAAGGCAUUCCCAGCUAUCUGUGGGAGCUUUGUGGAUUUGUCCUUGGUGUUGUGAUACAUAUCUGCCAUGAUGCGGAGGUUUUCUCUGCCAAAAUAUCCUGGAGCCUAACGACAGGACUUAAUUUAUGAAAAUCAAUCUGAUCAAUGGAGAAUUAUGCUGCAAAGGUGAAGCAGUUUCUUGGCUGUUUGAAUCUUGUGAGAUGUUCAGCUCCCAAAAGCAGAUACAGAUGUCAUCUUCAUCUGGAGUCACCACAGAAAAUACAGCACUAAAAAAGUGCAGAGAACUUCCAAGCAAGUCUUGUUACAUGGAUUAAAUUGUGAUCUGACAUUAACCUAGUGUAACUCUGCCAGAAUCAAUAAGCUACAUUAGAUUUAUGGAGGUGUAAAUGAGAAUUUGAUACUUGUUUGGUCUCUGAACCAAAUAACAAAAUCCCAAAAGGAAAGCAAGGAUAUUGACUUACAAGACAGUCUUUCCAUUGAUUUCCGUGGGUUUUGGAGUAGGAUCAUAGUAUCCAUGUAUGCUGCCAAUACAUUUCAAACAACUACCCUUUGCUAUUAAUUCCUCCUCAACUCUCACUGCAACGAUAUCUAAAGGAAAUGAGCAACUGCAAACGAUUAUAUGAAGGGCCAGUGACUUCCCUGUAAAUUCAAGCAAGAAGAGAGCAGCAUUUAAUGGCAUCAAACAAGCUCUCGGGGGAUCAGAUAUUAAAUACCGCCUUCAAUAUUCUGUGAUCUUCAUAAUGAAAGUGACAGACUUUGAAAUACUUCAAUACCUCCUUUAAUACAGGAAUCGAGACCAGAUCUCACUAAAGAUUCCUAAUUUAGAUUGUGCUUGAAGGGAGUGGGGGCAAGAAAAAGCAUAUACCAUCUGAGAUCUGAAUGUGCUUGUACUGGAAGUCUGGGAAUCUGAGGCUUUACGGAAGCACUGAAAGCUACCUUAAGGAGAGAAUGAAUGAAAUUUGCAUGUGAAAUGAAAUACCUAAUUUUCUGGCAGAGUUUCAAGGAGAAAAACCAUAGAGAAGACUCUCAGAAUAAUGAGCCAAUGCAUUCCUCAAAAUACAAAUAUUAUGAAUGUGUGUCCACCUGGAUUGAAUUCAUGCUUUUAAAAAAGUUAAACACAAGUGAGGAGCCAUGAAGCUCCACACACUGCCUCCACACUCCAGUUGGCUGGUUCCCUGUGCUUUCAUGUGAGAGCAGUGUGCAGAGUCAUUUGCGUACCUCUGUCUUGGAUUCAGACUUUCUACUGGCUGCUUCUGGGGUACAGCAUGGUCUGCGGUGACAGGACAGGUGGGAAGCCAACCUUAGAAUCCCUGCUGCUCUGCUGACUGAGUCACUGAAGGUAUGUGUGAGAGAGUGCAUUCAGUGAUCUGGCAGUCAAUGAACAAAGCUUGGCCACACCACAACCACCUGACUGGCUAAGGCAAUGAGGAGACUUGCUCUUAACCAAGCACCAACAGAGCAUCAACACCUUGUCAACGCAUAUACCUGUGCAAUCUAUACCUUCCUGGGCUUGCUUCACUCCAAGCUCUGCUCCUGCUUGUUCCAGCCUGGAUACUGCCCUGUACUCAGUCUUAUUUUAGUCCUGUCCUAGCCUUGCUCUUGCCUUGGAACUAGCCCUGCCUCUGCCUUCCCUGACUUCAGAUAAUCCAGUUCUGCCCCUUGGUUCUGAUUCCUGGCUCUGACUCUGUCAUGAUCGAUGAGCUCUGGCAUUUGGACUCUGAUCACUCGGCCUGACUACCUAUGACUCCUGACAGGGGGAUGCUAUCUAGCACUAUGUUUUCUGUGUUUGCAUUACUAACAAAACAUAAUUCUAAACAUGUUAUUGGACUUCUGAACAAUUGCAUUAAUACGUGUUUAAAUUUAAUGAUACCUGUCAGCUUGUUGCAAAAUCUGAUUCAAUAAAUGAUUUUAUUUGAGACUAUUAUCAAAGCACUGUACAGAAUACAGAAAGAUAAGAUUCAUUACCAACCUGGAGGAAUGGGAAAAGCUAUCUUCCUUGUCCAUGUCCUCUGUAACUGGUGUGUUGCCAACAGUUUGCACUCUCCGCCUAAUUCCCCAAACCUCUCUAUUCUUACAGAGAAAAAUUCUUUCCCAUGUUUAAUUUCAUUGUGUCCUAUUUUGACGUUUGAU